UCUAGCCAGGAGCACCUAAGUAGAAGUAUCAUGUAUAAUGUCUAGAAAGAUCAGGCUGCCUAGAGUGUGGGCAUGAUGACUGGAUAUCCAACAGCCAUUUCAGACCAUGAGGCAGAAGCCACAUGGAAGAUGGCAGAGCAAGAGGAUAGAAGGAGCUUGACUUCCUAAUGAUGAUGGAAUUUCCUGUGAUUUUUCAGCUGAGUCUAAUGCUAACUAAAGCAACUAAAAGUUUGUCGAGAAGACUGAAAACCAUUUUGCUAAGUAGGAGUUCAUUAUAUUUAAUUAAAAAUAGGUGCUUGAAGUUACUUUUCACCAUGUCCAUCGAGACACUCACUUCUGCAUUAUGGGAUCCAGAGUAAGGGGUAAGAAAUGGGACUCUGGAGACAUAAACACAUGCAGCAAAUCCUGAAGGACUGUGGUGAGCCAGGUCCAGAAAACCCUGUGAGGAUGAACAAGUGUCACUUGAGAGCGCACGAUGCAAGCAGUGCACCGAUUGGCCGCUAAGACUGUCCAGUGUGCGGAUGCCUCCCAGAAGAUAGCAGGGCUUUGAGAAGCAGGAAGGAACUCAGCAGGGUUGAACAGCGUGGCUGGCUGGAACGGACAACCUUGCACUGAAAGCACCUAAGUGAAGGGGUGCCUGGGUGGCUCAGUCAGUUGAGCGUCUGACUUC